CAGCCAGAACAUUCUAAUUACAUUGAGCAUUUACUGCGAGAACAAGUACGUUACUAGGAAGAUUAUAUUUUUAAUUUCUAUAGAAACAUCGAUAUCCUACAGCAUGUUUGCCAAUGGUCGAGCUUGGGGGCCGCAGGAAUAGGGAUGGAUGCCCUCAGCCCUCAUUCAAAAUUAAAAUUCGUAAAAUUAUUUAUUGUUGAUAGUAUAAUUAUUCUACUCUAAAAUAUGAUGAGUCGAUAAUAAUUUCAGAUUUUUCAUCUUUGCUUCAAACUUUUCUUAUCAUGCCAGCUUGAUUAACUAGCUGUUGGUCCGUAGGAGUCCUGUCUGAUUCAAUGUUCUUUCUUUAGGAUUAACCUUUUUGGCACAGUUAGGUUCUUCUACUUGUCCUUUCAGAAAGUACAACCACAACUCGUUACUAGUUAUCUACCAUGUGCAAAAAAACAUAUCCAAAUUAAAGUGAUAUAAUUCUUUUUGCACUAUGCAUCAAGUGCUUUCGCUUAUAAAUGUUGCAUAUAUCAUGUUACAUGUGAAGUGAUGCAUGCUCCUUCUGUUAGCUGCUUGUAGGGUAGGCUCAAGCCUACCAGAAGCUGCUUGUAGGGUAGGCUCUCGUUACUUGGUGGUGUCGAGCUCGUGUUUGCCUCCGAGGGCUCACUCUAGUUUGUAGCUUGUUGAUCAUUCUAUUAGCUAGUAUACACCUUUAGGGCUUAUUCGGAAUAUAGGAUAGGAAAAACGAAGGAAUAGGAAAAAUAUAGGAAUAUGGUAGGAUUGUAUGCGUAAAACAGAGGAUUGGAAAACAUAGGAAUUUCUUAUUCUCCGUUCGCAGGAUUCUUACAGCAAAGAGGCUAGAGUGGAUUCUUUUUUUCCUGUGAAAACAUGGGUAGGGAAUAGUAUUCCUAUGGAAUUCAAGAUAGCUAACCCUUUCAAACGAAUGCAUCUACCGUACCCAGUUCAAAGGAAUCAUCAAUCCUCCAUUUUUCCUUUACAUUUCCUCCAUUCCGAAUGAGCCCUUAGACUUGGAAGGCACUGGGAAUACGACUAGCACUAUUGAGUACAGGUAAGGGGGCUUUCAAAGCCCAUCUCCUUCUGCCCGCCAUCCUCACCCUCGCCCUUGGGCCGGUUCAUCAAGUUAGCUGGGAGUUAAGACGAGGAAGAGCAGAGAUUAUGGUAUCCAGUGAUCUCCGUGACUCCGUGUGCUUUGUUAAAAUUAAUGGAGACCAUCAGCGGAUGAUGAGCGUAUACUACUACGUGCCGAUGUCAUUUUAGUGCUACUACUACGUACCUUACUACAAUUCCGGCCAGUAAAGAUGCAUUUUGGUGCUACUACCUACCGAUGAAUGAAACCAUUCAAAGAUGUAGUGGUGCUCUUGAGACGUACAUCGGCACAAAACUAAAAGGAAGGUGUCGGAAAAAACGAAAAGUAAAUUAUAUGUGAAAAACACUUUAAGCUGGCUGUACGAUCUCGCAUAGAGUUUUUGAGAGCCCGUGUUCUGUAUGCCAUGGGAAUAGAAGAAAGGAAGGACUUGGUAGAAAACUAUUAUUAACUAGAUAAAUACAUCGUCGUGUGUUGCUACAAGAAAUUAAGUUGUAUAAUAUGUAUAAAUAAUGUGCAAUAUAUUUUAUAAAACCAAAAACAAUAUGGAUUCCUAUGUUUUACGUAAUUUGUACAUGGUUGUAAAUAUAGUUGUUAACGCCAAAAUUUGAUAAUCCCGAAGUUAUCAUCGGCAAAGCAAACAUAUUUUAUUUGACCAAUACUUGUGAAUUUUGAGCCUAAAAAACUAUUCAAAUUGCACAGUUUUAUGAGAGAAGAAAGAGAUAAUUUGUGCCAUAUAUAUAUCUCUAUUAUCCGAAGGGUAAAAAUAAUUGUGGUGAUGUGACUUCAUGAGAAAAGAUCGAGAAAUAAUAUUUUCUACACUUAGUGAGGAUUGUAUAUAUAGGUUGUUUGCUAAUUAAGAAUGAACUUUAGUUAGAUCUGGUUCAUGUCACUCCCUACAUAGUAAUAUUUCAGUCUGCCAAUGAACACAAUGCUGCAUAUUGGUCUACCGUGAGUUCACUUGUCGGUGUUAAUUUUUUAUUUUCCAAGUAUUGAACACAGCACCGUCACCAAGUAUACUUAUGACUUGUUCGGCAUAGCUCCAACUCUGUUUUUUUUUCCUGAACUACCUAGCUUCAAUUUUUCUUUUGCAGAUAGAGUUGCUGCUGCAUAUAUAUAUAUAUAUAACAGUUAUCAGGGUGAUAUUUUACACCAAAGUAAAAAUGAUUAAGCCACAUUAAUUUAAUGUAUAAACUCUAUUUUCUAGAAGAAUUUAAGAGUUAGAACCAUAUUAAACAGACCUAAUAUGAACUACCAAUCGGGGGCCAUAUCACCAUUCAUAUCAUUACUCUGCCCAUUCAUAUAUGUAAACACGGAAAUCCAAUUUCAAUAGUUGAAGAGAUUUGUACCUUGCAGUUAAGAGUGAUCA